rnacentral:rRNA from 1 species
UACGUAGGGUGCGAGCGUUGUCCGGAAUUACUGGGCGUAAAGAGCUCGUAGGUGGUUUGUCGCGUUGUUCGUGAAAACUCACAACUCAAUUGUGGGCGUGCGGGCGAUACGGGCAGACUGGAGUACUGCAGGGGAGACUGGAAUUCCUGGUGUAGCGGUGGAAUGCGCAGAUAUCAGGAGGAACACCCGUGGCGAAAGCGGCUCUCUGGGACGGUACUGACGCUGAGACGCGAAAGCGUGGGGAGCAAACAGG